rnacentral:rRNA from 1 species
AUUGAACGCUGGCGGCAGGCCUAACACAUGCAAGUCGAACGAGUGGCGGAAGGGUGAGUAAUGUAUGGGAAACUGAGUGAUGGAGGGGGAUAACUACUGGAAACGGUAGCUAAUACCGCAUACCAUAAGAUGGGCCCGGGUAGGAUUAGCUAGUGGGUGGGGUAACGGCUCACCUAGGCGACGAUCCCUAGCUGGUCUGAGAGGAUGACCAGCCACACUGGAACUGAGACACGGUCCAGACUCCUACGGUAGGCAGCAGUGGGGAAUAUUGCACAAUGGGCGCAAGCCUGAUGCAGCCAUGCCGCGUGUGUGAAGAAGGCCUUCGGGUUGUAAAGCACUUUCAGCGGGGAGGCGUUACCCGCAGAAGAAGCACCGGCUAACUCCGUGCCAGCAGCCGCGGUAAUAC